rnacentral:lncRNA from 1 species
UAUUAUUCUUGAAGGACUAUUGAACGAUAAAUCCACCAUCACUGGGUUGCACAUGCCCAACAAUGCAGCAAGGUACCAUUCCAGAUAUUCCCAAACUCAUUCCAGAUGGAUCCAUUCGAUAUGUUGUUGUCCAAAAAAAAAUGUUCUAGCACCUGAGGCUCCCGAUACUGUGGAGUCUACGAAAGAUCAGAUGUAUGUGUAAUAACCCAGAAAAAAAAAAUGGGGCUCGAGGGCCGGCCCGGAGUGGCCAGGCCCAGCCCGAUUCCCUGGCCAGCCCGACGAAGAGGGGGAGAAGAAGACUCCGAUGGGAGUCUUCUUUCUCCUCCGAUCCCGGCGGAGUCGGAGAAUCCCCAGGGCAGUCCGAGUUCGGAUCGAACUCGAAAAUCUUACCUCUUUAAAUCUCCUCCCUCUCCUCUGAUUUCCGCCGGAUCGUCGCCGGACUGAGGUGAGUGUCCCCUGCCUUCCUCUCCUUCUUUUCUAUGUUUAUAAGCCGUCCUUUCUUUGGUUUGAGCCGGCUGGUCGCCGGAAUUCCUCCUGAAACAGGGGUGCCCUGUUUCAGCAUCUCUUCUCCCGUGCUCGCCGUCGUCGGCCGCCGGACUUGGACCAAGCUUUGUCGCCCUAGGGACCCCUGAGAUCAUGUGCUGGUGGGUUGGAGAAAACAGCCACUGUCUUGGCCGAGAUGGGAGGAUCUCUUCUUCCUCUUUUGCUUGCUUUUGCCGGCCACCGCCGCCGACAAGGAUCGUCGCUGUAGGGCCGCCGCCGCCGCCGGGUGGAGGGGCUACGGUGGUCGCUGUUCAUGGAGUCCUCUUAGAAUGGUUGAGAGGGAGGGGGAGAGGGAUGUGUCUCCCCUGUUUUGGAAAGAUGAGAAGUGGAGGAGAGAGAGUUCUUCUCUCUUCUCUCUCUCUCUCCCCUCUUCCUU